GACGAACGUUGGCGGCGUGCUUAACACAUGCAAGUCGAACGGAAAGGCCCUGCUUUUGUGGGGUGCUCGAGUGGCGAACGGGUGAGUAACACGUGAGUAACCUGCCCUUGACUUUGGGAUAACUUCAGGAAACUGGGGCUAAUACCGGAUAGGAGCUCCUGCUGCAUGGUGGGGGUUGGAAAGUUUCGGCGGUUGGGGAUGGACUCGCGGCUUAUCAGCUUGUUGGUGGGGUAGUGGCUUACCAAGGCUUUGACGGGUAGCCGGCCUGAGAGGGUGACCGGCCACAUUGGGACUGAGAUACGGCCCAGACUCCUACGGGAGGCAGCAGUGGGGAAUAUUGCACAAUGGGCGGAAGCCUGAUGCAGCAACGCCGCGUGCGGGAUGACGGCCUUCGGGUUGUAAACCGCUUUCGCCUGUGACGAAGCGUGAGUGACGGUAAUGGGUAAAGAAGCACCGGCUAACUACGUGCCAGCAGCCGCGGUGAUACGUAGGGUGCGAGCGUUGUCCGGAUUUAUUGGGCGUAAAGGGCUCGUAGGUGGUUGAUCGCGUCGGAAGUGUAAUCUUGGGGCUUAACCCCUGAGCGUGCUUUCGAUACGGGUUGACUUGAGGAAGGUAGGGGAGAAUGGAAUUCCUGGUGGAGCGGUGGAAUGCGCAGAUAUCAGGAGGAACACCAGUGGCGAAGGCGGUUCUCUGGGCCUUUCCUGACGCUGAGGAGCGAAAGCGUGGGGAGCGAACAGGCUUAGAUACCCUGGUAGUCCACGCUGUAAACGGUGGGUACUAGGUGUGGGGUCCAUUCCACGGGUUCCGUGCCGUAGCUAACGCUUUAAGUACCCCGCCUGGGGAGUACGGCCGCAAGGCUAAAACUCAAAGGAAUUGACGGGGCCCCGCACAAGCGGCGGAGCAUGCGGAUUAAUUCGAUGCAACGCGUAGAACCUUACCUGGGUUUGACAUGGAUCGGGAGUGCUCAGAGAUGGGUGUGCCUCUUUUGGGGUCGGUUCACAGGUGGUGCAUGCCUGUCGUCAGCUCGUGUCGUGAGAUGUUGGGUUAAGUCCCGCAACGAGCGCAACCCUUGUUCACUGUUGCCAGCACGUUAUGGUGGGGACUCAGUGGAGACCGCCGGGGUCAACUCGGAGGAAGGUGGGGAUGACGUCAAGUCAUCAUGCCCCUUAUGUCCAGGGCUUCACGCAUGCUACAAUGGCUGGUACAGAGAGUGGCGAGCCUGUGAGGGUGAGCGAAUCUCGGAAAGCCGGUCUCAGUUCGGAUUGGGGUCUGCAACUCGACCUCAUGAAGUCGGAGUCGCUAGUAAUCGCAGAUCAGCAACGCUGCGGUGAAUACGUUCCCGGGGCU
rnacentral:rRNA from 1 species